ACGGGACCGCACAAGCGGUGGAUGAUGUGGUUUAAUUCGAUGCAACGCGAAAACCUUACCCACCUUUGACAUGUACGGAACCCUUUAGAGAUAGAGGGUGCUCGAAAGAGAGCCGUAACACAGGUGCUGCAUGGCUGUCGUCAGCUCGUGUCGUGAGAUGUUGGGUUAAGUCCCGCAACGAGCGCAACCCUUGUCAUUAGUUGCUACAUUCAGUUGGGCACUCUAAUGAGACUGCCGGUGACAAGCCGGAGGAAGGUGGGGAUGACGUCAAGUCCUCAUGGCCCUUAUAGGUGGGGCUACACACGUCAUACAAUGGCUGGUACAAAGGGUUGCCAACCCGCGAGGGGGAGCCAAUCCCAUAAAGCCAGUCGUAGUCCGGAUCGUAGUCUGCAACUCGACUACGUGAAGUCGGAAUCGCUAGUAAUCGUGGAUCAGAAUGUCACGGUGAAUACGUUCCCGGGUCUU
rnacentral:rRNA from 1 species